CAGAAAAUGUGCUUUGAUAGCCGCAGUUAAGGCAGUUGGUGUCUUAUUAAUGAAAACUAGAGAAUUAAAGAGUUUUGGACCAUAAAUGGAGAAGCUUACCGAAGAUAGGGCCUUUCAAGUUAAGGAGAGUAAGGAAAGUAAUUGGGGUAUUCCAAGAUGUGAAGAAUCCUGUCUUUUGUGUGGAAUUCAAGAUAUUGAUCAACUUUUCCCACAAGAAGAAGCAUUUACCUCCAGGGUACCAUGGAUGUGUGGCAAUAUAAAUCCAAAGGACAACUGAGGCCUAGUUAAAAGUCACUUUCCUGCACAUUCAGUCUUAGACUACAUUGUUUGCUAACAAUAGGACUCAAACUGAUUUACAUACUAAGGAAAAACUCUCCUUGGGAAAUUAAUCUUAGGUGUCAUAUCAAUUAAAUGCUCUUAUUACUUAAUUGUAAUGUUUUUAAUGUAC